UGAAGAUGAACUUGGGGUGAG
rnacentral:piRNA from 1 species